CAGUCGCCGCGGUAACACGAAGGGUGCAAGCGUUACUCGGAAUCACUGGGCGUAAAGCGUGCGUAGGUGGUGGUUUAAGUCCGUUGUGAAAGCCCUGGGCUCAACCUGGGAAUUGCAGUGGAUACUGGGUCACUAGAGUGUGGUAGAGGAUAGUGGAAUUUCCGGUGUAGCAGUGAAAUGCGUAGAGAUCGGAAGGAACAUCUGUGGCGAAGGCGACUAUCUGGGCCAACACUGACACUGAGGCACGAAAGCGUGGGGAGCAAACAGGAUUAGAUACCCCCGUAGUCCCUGUCUCUUAUAC
rnacentral:rRNA from 1 species